GAUGAACGCUGGCGGCGUGCCUAAUACAUGCAAGUCGAGCGAAUUCUCGAUUGAGAGCUUGCUCUCAAGAAGUUAGCGGCGGACGGGUGAGUAACACGUGGGUAACCUGCCCAUAAGACUGGGAUAACUCCGGGAAAUCCCCGGGGCUAAUACCGGAUAACAUUUUGAACCGCAUGGUUCGAAAUUGAAAGGCGGCUUCGGCUGUCACUUAUGGAUGGACCCGCGUCGCAUCCGUAGCUAGUUGGUGAGGUAACGGCUCACCAAGGCAACGAUGCGUAGCCGACCUGAGAGGGUGAUCGGCCACACUGGGACUGAGACACGGCCCCCGAGACUCCUACGGGAGGCAGCAGUAGGGAAUCUUCGGCAAUGGACGAAAGUCUGACCGAGCAACGCCGCGUGAGUGAAGAAGGUUUUCGGAUACACGUAAAACUCUGUUGUUAGAGAAGAACGUUGUGUAGAGUGGAAAAUUACACAAGUGACGGCAUCUAACCAGAAAGGGACGGCUAACUACGUUCAGCCAGCAGCCGCGGUAAUACGUAGGUCCCGAGCGUUGUCCGGAUUUAUUGGGCGUAAAGCGAGCGCAGGUGGUUUAAUAAGUCUGAUGUAACCUAAGGCAGUGGCUCAACCAUUGUGUGCAUUGGAAACUGUUAGACUUGAGUGCAGUAGAGGAGAAUGGAAUUCCAUGUGUAGCGGUGAAAUGCAUGGUAGAUAUAUGGAGGAACACCGGUGGCGAAAGCGGCUCUCUGGACUGUAACUGACACUGAGGCUCGAAAGCGUGGGUAGCAAACAGGAUUACCGGAUACCCUGGUAGUCCACGCCAUAAACGAUGAGUGCUAGUUGUUUGGGGCUAUCCAGCCCUAAGUGACGCAGCAAACGCAUUAAGCACUCCCACGCCUGGGGAGUACGACCGCAAGGUUGAAACUCAAAGGAAUUGACGGGGGCCCGCACAAGCGGUGGAGCAUGUGGUUUAAUUCGAAGCAACGUACCGAAGAACCUUACCAGGUCUUGACAUACCAGUGCUAUUCUUAGAGAUAAGAAGUUACUUCGGUACACUGGAUACAGGUGGUGCAUGGUUGUUUCCGUCAGCUCGUGUCGUGAGAUGUUGGGUUAAGUCCCGCAACGAGCGCAACCCCUGUUCCUAGUUGCCAGCGCGUAAAGGCGGGGACUCUAGACUGGAGACUGCCGGUGCCAAACCGGAGGAAGGUGGGGACGACGUCAAGUCAUCAUGGUCCUUACGUCUAGGGCUACACACGUGCUACAAUGGCGCCGGGGACAAAGGGCUGCGAGCCGGCAACGGCAAGCCAAUCCCGUAAACCCCGCCUCAGUUCGGAUUGUCGUCUGCAACCCGACGGCAUGAAGAUGCUGGAAUCGCUAGUAAUCGUGGAUCAGCUACGCCACGGUGAAUACGUUCCCGGGCCUUGUACACACCGCCCGUCACGCCAUGGAAGCUGUGCUUAGCGCCCGAAGUCCGUGUCGGAACCCGCAAGGGACCAAGCGGCCGAAGGCGAGCGCAGUGACUGGGGCG
rnacentral:rRNA from 1 species